AGUUAACGUAGCAAAGCCAGGCCUUGCCAAAGAUCUAAGCCCUUUUCACAGAGGUUCAAAUCCUCUCGUUAACU
rnacentral:tRNA from 1 species